rnacentral:rRNA from 1 species
CAAAUCAGGUAGGAUUACCCGCUGAACUUAAGCAUAUCAAUAAGCGGAGGAAAAGAAACUAACAAGGAUUCCCCUAGUAACUGCGAGUGAAGCGGGAAAAGCUCAAAUUUAAAAUCUGGUAGUCUUUGGCUGCCCGAGUUGUAAUCUAGAGAAGCGUUAUCCGUGCUGGACCGUGUAUAAGUCUUCUGGAAUGGAGCGUCAUAGAGGGUGAGAAUCCCGUCUUUGACACGGACUACCAGUGCUUUGUGAUGCGCUCUCAAAGAGUCGAGUUGUUUGGGAAUGCAGCUCUAAAUGGGUGGUAAAUUCCAUCUAAAGCUAAAUAUUGGCGAGAGACCGAUAGCGAACAAGUACCGUGAGGGAAAGAUGAAAAGAACUUUGGAAAGAGAGUUAAACAGUACGUGAAAUUGUUGAAAGGGAAACGCUUGAAGUCAGUCGCGUUAGCUAGGAAUCAGCCUUGCUUUUGCUUGGUGUACUUCCUGGUUGACGGGUCAGCAUCAAUUUUGACCGGUGGAAAAAGGCCAGUUGAAUGUGGCACCUUCGGGUGUGUUAUAGCUUCUGGUCGUAUACAUCGGUUGGGAUUGAGGAACUCAGCACGCCGCAAGGUCGGGGUUCGCCCACGUUCGUGCUUAGGAUGCUGGCAUAAUGGCUUUAAUCGACCCGUCUUGAAACACGGACC